rnacentral:tRNA from 1 species
GCCUGGCUAGCUCAGUCGGUACAGCAUGAGACUCUUAAUCUCAGGGUUGUGGGUUCGAGCCCCACGAUAGGGG